GAUGAACGCUGGCGGCGUGCCUAAUACAUGCAAGUCGAACGGAGUUGUGUUGAAAGCUUGCUGGAUAUACAACUUAGUGGCGGACGGGUGAGUAACACGUGAGUAACCUGCCUCUCAGAGUGGAAUAACGUUUGGAAACGAACGCUAAUACCGCAUAAGCCCACAGCUCGGCAUCGAGCAGAGGGAAAAGGAGUGAUCCGCUUUGAGAUGGCCUCGCGUCCGAUUAGCUGGUUGGUGAGGUAACGGCCCACCAAGGCGACGAUCGGUAGCCGGACUGAGAGGUUGAACGGCCACAUUGGGACUGAGACACGGCCCAG
rnacentral:rRNA from 1 species